CAGGGAGAGGCUCAUCCCAGGAUCACUUCAAUCCAGGAGAAGCCCAUUCCAGGAGCAGCCAAUCCCGGGAUUGCCAUGGCUGAUCCCUCUGGGACGUGGGAGGGGAUCCCUCUGGAUGAGCCGGGCCUGGAUAACGCGGCGGGGGAGGAAUUCCUGCGGGAAGUGUUCCAGGUGCUGCUGGAGGAGGGGGUCAGGAACGGCACCGACGUCACCCAGAAGGUGUGUGUGUGGAAGGA